CACGUAGGGUGCGAGCGUUGUCCGGAAUUAUUGGGCGUAAAGAGCUCGUAGGUGGUUUGUCGCGUUGUUCGUGAAAACCGGGGGCUUAACCCUCGGCGUGCGGGCGAUACGGGCAGACUUGAGUACUGCAGGGGAGACUGGAAUUCCUGGUGUAGCGGUGGAAUGCGCAGAUAUCAGGAGGAACACCGGUGGCGAAGGCGGGUCUCUGGGCCGAAACUGACGCUGAGGAGCGAAAGCGUGGGGAGCAAACAGG
rnacentral:rRNA from 1 species